rnacentral:rRNA from 1 species
UGGUGGAGUGAUUUGUCUGGUUAAUUCCGUUAACGAACGAGACCUUAACCUGCUAGAUAGUUACGUUAACUUUGGUUGACGGCUAACUUCUUAGAGGGACUAUGGAUGUUUAAUCCAUGGAAGUUUGAGGCAAUAACA